GAUGAACGCUGGCGGCGUGCCUAAUACAUGCAAGUCGAGCGAACGGACGAGAAGCUUGCUUCUCUGAUGUUAGCGGCGGACGGGUGAGUAACACGUGGAUAACCUACCUAUAAGACUGGGAUAACUUCGGGAAACCGGAGCUAAUACCGGAUAAUAUUUUGAACCGCAUGGUUCAAAAGUGAAAGACGGUCUUGCUGUCACUUAUAGAUGGAUCCGCGCUGCAUUAGCUAGUUGGUAAGGUAACGGCUUACCAAGGCAACGAUGCAUAGCCGACCUGAGAGGGUGAUCGGCCACACAGGAGCUGAGACACGGUCCAGACUCCGACGGGAGGCAGAGGUGGGGAAUCUACCGCAAUGGGCGAAAGCCUGACGGAGCAACGCCGCGUGAGUGAUGAAGGGCUUCGGGUCGUAAAACGCUGUUAUGAGGGAAGAACAGAUGUGUAAGUAACUGUGCACAUCUUGACGGUACCGAAUCAGAAAGCCACGGCUAACUACGU
rnacentral:rRNA from 1 species